rnacentral:rRNA from 1 species
AGCGAACGCUGGCGGCAGGCCUAACACAUGCAAGUCGAACGGCUCUUCGGAGCAGUGGCGGACGGGUGAGUAACGCGUGGGAACGUGCCCUUUGGUUCGGAACAACACAGGGAAACUUGUGCUAAUACCGGAUGAGCCCUUUGGGGGAAAGAUUUAUCGCCAUUGGAGCGGCCCGCGUUGGAUUAGGUAGUUGGUGGGGUAAAGGCCCACCAAGCCGACGAUCCAUAGCUGGUCUGAGAGGAUGAUCAGCCACACUGGGACUGAGACACGGCCCAGACUCCUACGGGAGGCAGCAGUGGGGAAUCUUGCGCAAUGGGCGAAAGCCUGACGCAGCCAUGCCGCGUGAAUGAUGAAGGUCUUAGGAUUGUAAAAUUCUUUCACCGGGGAAGAUAAUGACGGUACCCGGAGAAGAAGCCCCGGCUAACUUUGUGCCAGCCGCCGCCGUAAAAC